rnacentral:lncRNA from 1 species
GUGCAGUUGGAUAUCAAACAGAAGAUAACUGCUGUUCAAAGAAAGAAGCAGUUUGGUAAGUUUAAGGUUAAACAAAAAUAAAAUUACUUUUCAUUUGUCCUCACCUUUUGUUUUUGUUAAUAGCUGCCUCUCAUGUCUAAAUACUUAAAUUUGGUAGUUCUUACCUUCAAAACUGGCUUCCCUGAGGGCUGCCUGGUCCACAUUUGCAAAGUGGGGCACA